UAGUGAUUAGUUGCACCUGUGAAAUGGACAACGAGCGUCAAGAAACCGUUUUCAAUCGUCUUUUCAACAUAGCUACUCGUGCAAGAGCAGAGUUGGCAAGCUCCAGUGCAGAUCAUGCCUAAAGUUACUUCAACGCGACGACCGACUGUUUCAUCGAGUACAGGUUAGGCGACGAGGACAUGAUGAGGACAAGCACUGUCAAGUCCUCUUCCGCUCCAAUGAUUAUAGCCAGUCCCCAAGGCUCCACGUCUCUAUGCACCAUUCAUCUCAACACUAACCAAAUGGUGGCUUUGUAACAGUGAUUGUGGGAGGAUGCUGUGCAGGUGUCAACAUGAAUGUGCCGGAGGACUAGAGUAUGCUGGCGUCGACACCCCACCUCCUCCCCUUCAGACUCCAUCGAGGGUUGGUCCCUGUCCUGUGAGGAGAGGAUGCAAUGGGUCUCUGCUUCAGCCGUGGCACCUUCUCUACAACCCUCGCCACUGUCACCAGUUUGUCCCCAUCCUGUGAAGGGGGGUAGGCUUUAGCCCCCUGCCUCAUCAAUCGGCAGGAUAAGCGCCCUCUUCUUUGAAACAGGACAUGUUUUAUUGAUGCUCUACAUGAGUAUUAUAUACAUGUAUAUAUACAGUGCCAUGUGUAUGUUUUUACCCCCCCUACUGAUUUUGUUUACUUUUUUGCACAUUUGGCACA